UACGGAGGGUGCGAGCGUUGUCCGGAAUCAUUGGGCGUAAAGGGAGCGUAGGUGGCCUUAUAAGUCAGUGGUGAAAUCUCUGGGCUUAACCCAGAAAUUGCCAUUGAUACUGUAGGGCUUGAGUAUAGAUGCCGUUGGCGGAAUAUGACAUGUAGUGGUGAAAUACAUAGAGAUGUCAUAGAACACCGAUUGCGAAGGCAGCUAACGAAACUAUAACUGACACUGAGGCUCGAAAGUGUGGGGAUCAAACAGG
rnacentral:rRNA from 1 species